rnacentral:tRNA from 1 species
GGUCUUAUAUUCAAAAAUGAUAUAAAAUUGCAAAUUUUAAGGAGCAGAAAUUAUAUGCUAAGACUU